rnacentral:lncRNA from 1 species
UAUACAAAUUUUGCUUCCACACUGUUGAGCAAGAGAUUGUGAUGCAAGCCACACCUUGUAGUAGUCGAAUGUUUGUAUGAACCAUAUAAAUUGAUUUUGCUUCGAAUAGUCUUGAAUUUGCUUCGAAGGUUUGAGAAUUGUAGUUGCCCUCCAUUGAUGAAGCUUUUGUUGGCACUAUAAAUUGGUUUUGCUUCACAUUGUCUUGAUCAAGAGUUGUGAAGCUUUUGAGAAUUGUGGUUGACCUUCAUUGAUAAAGCUCUUGUUGGCACCAUAAAUUGGUUUUGCUUCACACUUUCUUGAUCAAGAGUGUGUGAAGCUUUUGAGAAUUGUGGUUGAACUCCUUUGAUGAAGCUCUUGUUGGCACCAUAAAUUAGUUUUGCUUCACAUUGUUGAUCAAGAGUGUGUGAAGCUUUUGAGAAUUGUGGUUGCCCUCAAUUGAUGAAGCUCUUGUUAGCACCAUAAAUUGGUUUUGCUUCACACUAUCUUGAUCAAGAAUGUGUGAAGCUUUUGAGAAUUAUGGUUAAACUCCUCUGAUGAAGCUUUUGUUGGCACUAUAAAUUGGUUUUGCUUCACACUGUCUUGAUCAAGAGUGUGUGAAGCUUUUGAGAAUUGUGGUUGAACUCCUUUGAUGAAGCUCUUGUUGGCACCAUAAAUUGGUUUUGCUUCACACUGUCUUGAUCAAGAGUGUGUGAAGCUUUCUAUGAGUUGUAGUGUUUGCAUUGUUACAGAGGGGAAAUGUCUGAAGCAGAUGCAAGAGGGCUAAAUAGCUUGAUCUUCGCAUGCCAUGCACUGAAGUUGUUAUUGGCUUGCAAUAAGACUUUGUUGGUGACUAUAACUCUUGUUGGGCAUAAGUGCUCCCCUAGUUGAGUUGUUAAGCUUGAGGGUUUUUUAUUAUAUGUGAAUGCUAGGAGUUCACAUGUACAAGUUGUACCACUCAUCUUCUGGUAGGUGGAAUGAUUGGUGAGUU